rnacentral:rRNA from 1 species
UACGGAGGGGGCUAGCGUUGUUCGGAAUUACUGGGCGUAAAGCGCGCGUAGGCGGAUCUGCAAGUCGGGGGUGAAAGCCUGUGGCUCAACCACAGAAUUGCCUUCGAUACUGGACGGCUCGAGACCGGAAGAGGUCAGUGGAACUGCGAGUGUAGAGGUGAAAUUCGUAGAUAUUCGCAAGAACACCAGUGGCGAAGGCGGCUGACUGGUCCGGUUCUGACGCUGAGGCGCGAAAGCGUGGGGAGCAAACAGG